UACGUAGGGCGCGAGCGUUGUCCGGAAUCAUUGGGCGUAAAGAGCUCGUAGGCGGCCGGUUGCGUCUGCUGUGAAAUCCCGGGGCUUAACCCCGGGCGUGCAGUGGAUACGGGCUGGCUGGAGGCAGGCAGGGGAGAAUGGAAUUCCCGGUGUAGCGGUGAAAUGCGCAGAUAUCGGGAAGAACACCCGUGGCGAAGGCGGUUCUCUGGGACGGUACUGACGCUGAGACGCGAAAGCGUGGGGAGCAAACAGG
rnacentral:rRNA from 1 species